rnacentral:lncRNA from 1 species
CCACCGACGCAUCUCACGGCGGGGUUCUAAUUGCGUGCGCGUAUGGAUGCUCCUAUUCCUGCCGCCUUUCUAGCAACUAGUUAAUGUUAUGAUGCAUCGUUGGUCCGGCGUACGACGGCGCCUGGUGCGAUUUAUGCGUCCGGAAGCCCUUUCAGCCUCCAGGCAUGUCCCCACCUGCCUCACAGCCACCGACGCAUCUCACGGCGGGGUUCUAAUUGCGUGACCGUAUGGAUGCUCCUAUUCCUGCCGCCUUUCUAACAUCUAGUUAAUGUUAUGAUUCAUCGUUGGUCCGGCGUACGACGGCGCCUGGUGCGAUUUAUGCGUCCGGAAGCCCUUUCAGCCUCCAGGCAUGUCCCACCUGCCUCACAGCCACCGACGCAUCUCACGGCGGGGUUCUAAUUGCGUGCGCGUAUGGAUGCUCCUAUUCCUGCCGCCUUUCUAGCAACUAGUUAAUGUUAUGAUGUAUCGUUGGUCCGGCGUACGACGGCGCCUGGUGCGAUUUAUGCGUCCGGAAGCCCUUUCAGCCUCCAGGCAUGUCCCCACCUGCCUCACAGCCACCGACGCAUCUCACGGCGGGGGUCUAAUUGCGUGCGCGUAUGGAUGCUCCUAUUCCUGCCGCCUUUCUAGCAACUAGUUAAUGUUAUGAUGCAUCGUUGGUCCGGCGUACGACGGCGCCUGGUGCGAUUUAUGCGUUCGGAAGCCCUUUCAGCCUCCAGGCAUGUCCCCACCUGCCUCACAGC